UCCCUGGUAGUCCAGUGGCUAAGACUCUGCUCUCCCAGUGCCGGGGGCCCAGGUUCAAUCCCUGGUCGGGGAA
rfam:TPA: Bos taurus chromosome 26, whole genome shotgun sequence.